rnacentral:rRNA from 1 species
CGGAGGGUGCAAGCGUUAUCCGGAUUUACUGGGUUUAAAGGGUGUGUAGGCGGGCCUUUAAGUCAGUGGUGAAAUCUCCGAGCUUAACUUGGAAACUGCCAUUGAUACUAUAGGUCUUGAAUUCUGUUGAGGUGGGCGGAAUAAGUCAUGUAGCGGUGAAAUGCAUAGAUAUGACUUAGAACACCAAUUGCGAAGGCAGCUCGCUAAACAGACAUUGACGCUGAGGCACGAAAGCGUGGGGAUCAAACAGGAUUAGAUACCCUGGUAGUCCACGCCCUAAACGAUGAUUACUCGACAUACGCGAUACACAGUGUGUGUCUGAGCGAAAGCAUUAAGUAAUCCACCUGGGAAGUACGACCGCAAGGUUG